rnacentral:lncRNA from 1 species
GAGAAGGCCAUCUGACUGAAUUUGUUUUUCUGAAGUUACAGGUUUUUGUUCAGAAAUACUACUUUUUUCUGUAUUUUGGUUUCCACCUAAAAGAGGCCUGAUUGGCAUCUCCAAAGAACUUGUCGUGGCAGAUCUCUCAAUCCGAGAAAAGGAGUAUGACCUGAGAUCCGGUAACGAGAGGAUCCUUCCCAGGCAUACAGGACUGCCAUCCAGAGGUGAAUGGGUCCCUGUUGUUUUCAACUCUGAUCGAUCGGGCGUGCGACUGUUUUCUUCUCUGUUAAAACAUAACUCAAGUAGUGGGUUAUAUCUACUUAAUGAUUCAUUGAAAGAUGAUAUUCUUCUAAUGCCGUGCAGUCCAAUCUUGCCAACUGCAGAAUUUUGCUCGUUCCAAGAACCACUCCAACUCCGAGGAAUGCAUUUAUUCCAAUUCAAUGUAACUACAUCCUUGUUUACGUCAUCCUCUUCCUUAGUAUCUUUUGGAUACCCGUAAGGAAUUUUAUGGAGGACUGCAUCCAUGACAAUUCUUUGCCUCUCCUUUCUGCUCUCCUUGAUUGCAUGUUUGAUUUUUUGCCUAAGAUUUUUGAAGCGUUUCAUGAUAAGUUUAUUCAUAUGAUGGGUCUUGAACUCCUUCAGUGAAUCUAAAGAAGCAUUAUCCUGGGGACAGAGCUGUUUUGGGUCUUCCGCCUCCGUGCAUUUGCCUUUUUUAAUUGCCAAAAUCUGGUCCAGGUCUUGAGAUGCUAAUGCAUUCGAAGUUAGGUCCUCUUCAGUUUGAGAUUUACGUUCCCCUUCUUUACAAGUUCCCAAUUCCUUCUUGCACCUGGGACUGUUGGAUGCAGAAGGUCUUUCGCCUGAGGAGCCAGGCACAGGAAAUGACACAGACUUCGUUAACCCUGAUCUUAGAGUGGAUGCCCUAUGGCUGUGUAAAUGAUGCGACAAUGAUGAAUUUGGAUCUUGUAAAACUUUCAGGAAUAACUCCUCCCUUAAGUUGAGCAAAUCCAGCGCAUCCAGAAAGAUCUUUGACUCUUGGAGUGAAGCAAUUUUACUCGGCUCUAUUGCACAUAUAAACUUGUCCUGAAGAAGAGUAUGAUCUUUAACUGGUUGCUUCCCAUGCUCAUUAACCUCACUCUGCCUCAAGUAAUUCUUAGUAAGCAUGGCAGCACACAAGUGACAUGUCCUGCUCUGUGCGACUGAUUCACCACAAAACUGUGGCGGAAGCGGAUCCAGUAAGAUGGAAACAGAAGAAUGCAGUGUAUUUUCCUGGUGAUCCAGGGACUCAUCGUUGAAGCUAGUUUCAACACAAGGAUCUAUACUGGAGACAUCUAAAUGAUGGAUAGAAGGUUUCCGCUCCAAUGGCAAUCUUGUGGGAUAGGAAGAGCUUCGGCGAUGACGGAUUCUUCUUCUAUAGACCUCUUCAGUAAUCAAGGCUUUUAUUCGAGAUUUCAUUGAACUUUUAUGCCCUGAACUAGAGUCUGAAGAUUUUGCAUGAUCCUGAAAGUAAAAAUCUCUUAGAACAUUUUCCAAAAAUGGACAACCUUCCUAUCCUUAUCCUAAUCCUAGCAAUGACAUUUAUAAGUACCUACGACUAAAAUUUUAUGUAUUAAAAUAGAAGUGUAGAGAAAAAGACUGCGAAUCUAUCUUCAAAUUUUGCUGCCCGGCAAGAUAUAUAGUACGUACAGAAGAUUUAGCAGUUUCAGCUUCUAAUUUUUCUUGCGGUUGCCCAGCAUUUGUUGUGUUCAGCUUACUUCCUGGAUCUUCAACCACUGAAAAGUAGCAAUCCACAUAAAUUUCAAUAGCAAGACCAAAAGUUAAAACGUUCUUUGCACGCCAAGAUCAUGAAAUUGUGCAGAUCCCAUGUACUAAAAUUUGCGUAGUAACAACUGCAUUGCCAGCAUCAAUAAGGCCACGAAUGGUAUAUUCAAACUUGAGACGUUACAUUUGUCACAAUAGCAACUUCACUUGCAUAUGUACUGAUGCUAUGGUCGCAGAAGGUCACAUAGUUAAACAUGCAUGCCGACUGAAGUGACGAGAAAAGAGCACUUAGAAAGACGGGGGCCUAUCUGAAACUACACGAGUAACCUGGCAAAAAAAGAGCAAUUAAGAGCCAAGUGAACGGGCAGAAUUAAGUACCUACACCAUUUGCCAAUUUGCCACCGCUGCUUGUUUUAUGUACAAGCCUUUUCCUGACAUGGUGCCACUUGUGGUUGUUGAAAUGAUGAAGUAUGCCUUUCAUACAUCCUGGAUUACUAUGCUUCAAAGUGAUGGAAGGCUCUUGCUGUGGAAUGUUCUUUCCCAUCUAUUACAAUUGGAUCAGCUUUAGUGGUGAAAUGGCUUGGAGUUAGAAAAUGAUCAGGUCAACAGUUGUACUGGCACGCUCUGAGAACCUGAUAGAAAAUUAUGAAAACCGACAUUAACGACCAGAAAAUGGAUCAUGAUAAUCGUCGAACAUAAAAACAAUAGGGAAAAAAAUCAUAUUGUUAAUGGCCCAUAAUCAAUAUAAUGCAUCCAACGGUUUAUCAUGUCUUAUGAAGCGGUUUCCCGGGAAACAGAGGAAACCUGCCAUUAGGGUGUGCUGCAAUUUUUUUGCCCCAAAACGUGGCUGCGUUGA